CACAAAAGGUUUUCCAUCCCUUGGCUCCACGUUCCUGCUUCCUAGCUAGUCCCAGGGGCGGAACCGAGGCAGGGGCCGGCACCAGGAAGGAACGACAAAUUCUUGUGGCCACCCGCCACCAUCGCCAAGGUUUUCGCUGAAGCUUUCUUGUUUUGGGCGGGGGCUCAGAGUCAGGCCAUCUGUUGCUGGCCGGUUGAUAUCGUGGGGGCCGGGAGAUGCCGUCGUCCUCCUCCUCCUCCUCGGUCCAACGCGCGACGAGCGACGCGCUCAUCGGCCCCGACUGGGCGACCAACCUCGAGAUCUGCGACACCCUCAACCGCGAUCCAGGGUGAGCACGCACAACGACUCAACGAGUGCCUGUAUUUUCCAUAACUGGUGUAUUGGCUAACUCUGCUGAGCAAAGCUACAUUUCUGCGGCUUAAUUUUGUUUCGCGCCUACGGUUUUGUGGCAAGAUUAAAUCUUUGCGAGCUUUGCUGUUUAAAUUUGUCACUCGCAUGUUCAUUGAUUUAAUAUUUGCUUCCUCAAUUCUUGUUUUGGGGAUUAUCAAAACGCUUAAUUAUUUGAUGAACUUAUGGGGUCACUCGGAUUUGUUCUAUGUUUGUUUCUACUAAAAUCUUCAUUCUUAGCUAGUUUACAUGGUGUUUUUUUUAUGGUGAUAAAAAUGGCCAACCUGACUUCUUAGUAGAAACAUUUUGUUGAACUCUAUUGCCUUCUAGAAACUGGGUGUCUUUUGAGCUAGUCAAUGCCACGAUGUGUCGUUGAGCUUUUGAUUGAUGCAGCCACGUGUUUUCUUUUGAUCAAGUCAUCACACCAGACCUCUAAUGCAGCUCACUCCCGUCAACGAGUACUUACUAAAUUAUACUCAAUGAUAUAGUACUCCUAUAUGACAUGCAAAAUUUCUGUGAGAAUGGUUAUGUGCACCUACGUUCCGUUGUUAUCGGUUUGGUAUAAAUAUCUACGUUCUGUUGUACUCAUAGCCAAACAAAAGAUGUUGUCAAGUCUCUCAAGAAGCGCAUUGCUCACAAGAACUCAAAGGUCCAGCUUCUCGCUCUCACGUUGUUGGAGACAAUGAUUAAAAAUUGUGGGGACAUUGUCCAUAUGCAUGUUGCUGAGAGAGACAUACUUCGUGAAAUGGUGAAGAUAGUAAAGAAAAGGCCUGAUUAUCAUGUAAAAGAGAAGAUUCUCACGCUGAUCGACACUUGGCAAGAAUUUUUUGGCGGCGCACGUUCAAAAUAUCCGCAAUACUAUGCAUCAUACCAGGACCUUUUGCGUGCCGGAGCUGUAUUUCCUCAAAGAUCAAAUGGAUCUGUGCCAAUAUUUACUCCUGCGCAGACUCAGCCUCUACAAAACUAUCCUCCUGCUCUACGCGAUGCUGACCACGAGGCUCCUGAAUCGUCAGCGCAGGAUUUUCCUGCCACAAGCCUGGCAGAUAUUCAGAAUGCACGGGGUAUCAUGGACGUUCUUUCGGAGAUGUUGAAUGCUUUAGAUCCUAGUAAAAGACAGGAACUUCGUCAGGAUGUCAUCGUUGACCUUGUGGAUCAGUGCCGUACAUACAAGCAGAGAGUCGUGCAGCUUGUCAACAGUACCUCGGACGAGGGGUUGCUCAGCCAGGGUCUUUGUUUGAAUGAUGAUCUGCAGCGUGUUUUAGCAAAACACGACGCUAUUGCUGCAGGCAUAGCGGUUCCGGUGGAGAAGCAGAGAUCGCUCCAUUCCACGCUAGCGAAGCCAGAUACUACAAAAGAAGCAGUUCAAAGGUCUUCAGCAACUACUUCAAGUGCAAGCAAGCAGUCACCCUCAGAACAAUUGGCGCUUCCCGCGCCGGCACCUCGAUCAUCUAGCAGUGCAAAAGCUAUUGUUGCAGCACCAGCUCCUAGUUUCGACCUCCUUAGUGGAGAUGACUACAUCAAACCUGAACCUGAAAACUCGCUGGCGCUUGUUCCUGUCAGUGAAUACUCAGCUUCAGACCAGAAUGUAUUGGCCCUUGCAGACAUGUUCCAACAAAAUAGUGUUGCUGCCAACAAUAGAAACCAUAACCAGCUUACAAACUCUUUUGUUUCCCCUGCAUCUCGAGCAAACCCUGCUCCAGUGCACCCUACUCUGCCUCAGCAACCCACUACUUAUUCAAACGGGGACAUCGUACCUUACGGUCAACAAUCUCAACCGAACGUCACAAGGUCAUGGAAUGGGCAGCCUGCUUAUGGAGUGGAUUCUCAACGGCAAGCACUAAAUUAUGGUGUAGAGGAUCAGAACAGAGGCCUUCCACCACCACCCUGGGAAAUUCAGCACUUGACGGGUAACCAACCCCAACAAGCACAAAGUGGUCAAGGAUUCAUGUCAACACAACAAAUGCCAGGAGGUAUGCGCUUGCCACCGGUGCUCGGCGCGCAGCAAGCACCACAGUUUGUGCCGAACAUGCAAUACGGGGGCAUGUACCCGAAUUCGAUGCAAAUCAACCAAGGAAUGGGCAUGAACUCCCAACCGAUUGUCGGCGGACAGUUUUAUGGGAUGAACUAUCAACAGUCAUAUGCAGUUCAAAUGGCCGGUUAUGGGUAUGUGCACCAAUCUGGAGGCUACUACAUCCCGAACGCCGCAUAUGCGUAUACCAGUGCAAAUGAACUUUCUCAGAGAAUGAAUGGUGCAACGUCAUCCUUUUCUCUGAAGCAGCAGAAUAAAGCAAGCAGGCCAGAAGACUCGCUCUUUGGCGAUCUUCUUAGCAUAGCCAAAAUGAAGCAGAGCAAACCUGCAGCUGGUAAGGUCGGUGGCUUGUAAGAAGAAGGGUGGAGUGGAUGCAUGAUUUUGCCAGCAGCAAAAGCUUUACCUCGAACUCUCGUAGUACAUAAUUCUAUUUGGCACUUUUGGUACAAUGCCAGAUGGUUUAUUGAUGUAAAUUCCAUUUUUAGGCACGGAUACAUACUGGAAAGUAAUGGACUGUAUGAUUCCUGUAUGAUAUGGUCUGAUUAUAUAAUACAGUUCGAAUUUUGUAGUGUCAUCAACAUCCAUGUGUACAAAUAUUAGGCAAAGACUUUUUAGUAUC
rnacentral:rRNA from 1 species